ensembl:snoRNA
UUACCCUGGCAAUGGGCAAAGAGACAUCUCAUUUGUGGUAUUGCUCUUAUAUCAGUCAGGGCCAGGGCAGAUGCACAGUCCUUUGUUCAUCCUAGCUUGAUGGCUUGUUGGUGGCCAGAGCUGUUUCAUGCCUAGGGCACAAAA